rnacentral:rRNA from 1 species
UGGGGAAUAUUGCACAAUGGGCGAAAGCCUGAUGCAGCAACGCCGCGUGAGUGAAGAAGGUUUUCGGAUCGUAAAGCUCUGUUGUAAGAGAAGAACGUGUGUGAGAGUGGAAAGUUCACACAGUGACGGUAACUUACCAGAAAGGGACGGCUAACUACGUGCCAGCAGCCGCGGUAAUACGUAGGUCCCGAGCGUUGUCCGGAUUUAUUGGGCGUAAAGCGAGCGCAGGCGGUUUAAUAAGUCUGAAGUUAAAGGCAGUGGCUUAACCAUUGUUCGCUUUGGAAACUGUUAGACUUGAGUGCAGAAGGGGAGAGUGGAAUUCCAUGUGUAGCGGUGAAAUGCGUAGAUAUAUGGAGGAACACCGGUGGCGAAAGCGGCUCUCUGGUCUGUAACUGACGCUGAGGCUCGAAAGCGUGGGGAGCAAACAGGAUUAGAUACCCUGGUAGUCCACGCCGUAAACGAUGAGUGCUAGGUGUUAGGCC